GAUGAACGCUGGCGGCGUGCCUAACACAUGCAAGUCGAGCGGCAGCGAGGGGUGCUUGCACCCUGUCGGCGAGCGGCGGACGGCUGAGUAACGCGUGGGAACGUGCCCCAAAGUGAGGAAUAACUGCCCGAAAGGGUAGCUAAUACCGCAUAUUAUCUUCGGAUCAAAGGAUUUAUCCGCUUUGGGAGCGGCUCGCGUCGGAUUAGGUAGUUGGUGAGGUAAUGGCUCACCAAGCCGACGAUCCGUAGCUGGUCUGAGAGGAUGACCAGCCAGACUGGAACUGAGACACGGUCCAGACUCCUACGGGAAGCAGCAGUGAGGAAUCUUCCACAAUGGGCGAAAGCCUGAUGGAGCAACGCCGCGUGCAGGACGAAGGCCUUCGGGUUGUAAACUGCUUUUAUAAGCGAGGAAUAUGACGGUAACUUAUGAAUAAGGAUCGGCUAACUACGUG
rnacentral:rRNA from 1 species